AUCUAUUCAUAUUGUAAGUCGCUCUGGAUAAGAGCGUCUGCUAAAUACUUAAU
rfam:Salmo salar isolate Sally breed double haploid chromosome ssa18, whole genome shotgun sequence.